AGAUUACAGAACCAUUCAAUCAAUGGCUGUGAUCAAGAUUUAAAAGAAAAAAACUUAGACAUCUCUAAUCAUUUUCUGUUACAAAAACUCGUAAAACUCUGUUUCUGGUACUGUUUCUGAAACCCAGAAGGAUCAGAUUGAGAUUAAUAGAAGAAGAAGAAUCGUGAGUGACAGUGUCGAGAGAGAAGCGAAGUUUCCUCGUGCAGAGUUUGGCAGAAAAGGGUAUGAAUCUGGUGGAGGCACAAGACGGGCAAGGAGUUAUGGUGUCGUUGUAGAAAGAAGAGAAGGAGACGCAACAGCUUGGAUGCUUUCUGGCUAGAAACUGUGAGUAUGUGCAGUCGUGAGAAAAACGGUAGAUGGCACGAUUUUGGCAGGACCACAAGUGUAACCAGGUCCGGGACCAAGUAAUGUGAAGUUCUUAGGAAGCUUGACAGUCUUGUUUGUAGUUCCAGCCAGACCAACACUAACCUGAAACUGUGAUACAGCGGAUGAUGGAUCCUGACCCCAAGCUCCAACUACACCGCCUUUGCAACAGUUUGAGAACUGUUGAUUGUAAGGGACACCUGGCAAGAGGUCAACGACUGUUGGGGUUUUCUUACAGCAAUGAGCCUAAUGUCCAACCCGGGUUUUGUAUGUGGCGGUACAUUUGGAAGUUGUUCAUUGUUACCGUUGCCUGCAAAUGCAUAUAGUGUACAGAAUGAUGAGAGUUUGUGCGAGUAAUCAAAUGCGCAUACACGCACGCACAAGAGUGCAGAGGAUUCUUACCACAUAGCCAUCUGCUGUCCAGGACAUGAUAUCCCAUUUGAUUGUAAUGUUCCCACUGGGAUCCAAUGGAUCAUAUGCAGCUGUAAAACAAAAACAAAAAAUCAUAGAAUAAGAAA